rnacentral:rRNA from 1 species
UACGUAGGGCGCAAGCGUUGUCCGGAAUCAUUGGGCGUAAAGAGCUCGUAGGCGGCCUGUCGCGUCCGCUGUGAAAUCCCGGGGCUUAACCCCGGGCGUGCAGUGGAUACGGGCUGGCUGGAGGCAGGCAGGGGAGAACGGAAUUCCCGGUGUAGCGGUGAAAUGCGCAGAUAUCGGGAGGAACACCGGUGGCGAAGGCGGUUCUCUGGGCCUGUACUGACGCUGAGGAGCGGAAGCGUGGGGAGCGAACAGG